rnacentral:rRNA from 1 species
UGAGUAACCUGCCCCCGACUUCGGGAUAACUCCGGGAAACCGGUGCUAAUACCGGAUAUGAGGUGCCUCCGCAUGGGGGUGUCUGGAAAGAUUUAUCGGUUGGGGAUGGGCUCGCGGCCUAUCAGCUUGUUGGUGGGGUGAAGGCCUACCAAGGCGACGACGGGUAGCCGGCCUGAGAGGGUGACCGGCCACACUGGGACUGAGAUACGGCCCAGACUCCGUACGGGAGGCAG